GAUCUUGCUCUAAAGAGAUUAAUAAUUCAACAUCGAGGUCAUAAUCUUUUUCUUUUAUAAGGACUUUAAGAAAAAAUUGUGCUGUUAUCCCUACGGUAGCUUGGUGAAAUCUCAGAUUGAGGUUGUGGGGAAAACGAGAAAAAAGAUAUAGUUUUUUACCGCCCCAGUUCAACAAAAGUAAAGCUCGAUAGGGUCUUGUCGUCCUUCUUUGUAAUUCAAGUCUUUUUACUUGAAGGAAAAGUUUAAAUAGUUUGGAUAAUAAAGAAAUUUAUAUGUCAGACCUUUCAUACUAGCCUUCAAUUGAAAGGCAAAUGAUUAUGCUACCUUAGCACAAGAAAAUUGCGGCUAUUUAAUAAAUCAUUGAGCAGGUCCUACUGAAUACAAGUUCAUUCAGAAAUGUUUUUGGUAAACAGACAAUAAAUGUAUAGGCCGAGUUCAUAAACCUGAAUAUAGAAAUAUUAAAUAAGAUGAAUUAAUGAAAAUGGGUCAGAUAAAUUUUACUAAUAAAAUCAUUGUGAAUAUUUUUAGGGAAGUUUCUUUUAAUAAAAUUCUCGAGGAAAGCGGAGGGAAGUUUAAAAACCGGGGGACACUAUUAAUCCUAGAAUUUGAAAGAUAAAGAAAUGACUAAUUUAUAAAAAAGAUUAUCCCUUUUUAAAUUUUGGUACUAGUACCUUCAAAGAUAACCAGAUAUAAUAGAAUGCGCAUGGAAUUUCAUCUCUAUAUUUACUUUAGAAAACUUUUUGGAACAAGCUUGAUAAGAAAAAAUAGAUCAUUUCAAUUUCGGGAGCGUUUGUUAAAAAAGGGGGAUUGACUUUCCCUGAUACCAAAGGUACAUUGCUUUUCUGCUAGACAAUUGAAGAUCGCCCCUCACGGUUAAAUAAAUACAAGAAAAGAACAGAAAGGAUAAAAUAUUAAUUUAAAUAAAUGUUUCUAGAAAGAAGU
rnacentral:rRNA from 1 species